GAUGAAGAACGUAGCGAAAUGCGAUACCUGGUGUGAAUUGCAGAAUCCCGUGAACCAUCGAGUCUUUGAACGCAAGUUGCGCCCGAAGCCGUUAGGCCGAGGGCACGCCUGCCUGGGUGUCACACAUCGUUGCCCCAAUGCCAAUCGCCUCACUUUGUAGGUAUUUGCUUAGGGUGAAUGUUGGCCUCCCGUGAGCUUUGUCUCACGGUUGGUUGAAAAUCGAGUGCAUGGUGUCGGGUGUACCAUGAUGGAUGGUGGUUGAGUGAUGAUGCUCGAGACCAAUCAUGGGUAACUCCACCAGAAUUGGGCUCGGUGACCCACAUGCGUCCCUUGGAUGCUCCCUAAGGAGACCUCAGGUCAGGCGGGGCUACCCGCUGAGUUUAAGCAUAUCAAUAAGCGGAGGA
rnacentral:misc_RNA from 1 species